rnacentral:lncRNA from 1 species
AGGGCAGCAAGCCUCACUCUGCUCCUCAACAAACGCCCCUGUGAGAGCUGAGAGGGUUAUUCCAGCUGUCAUGGUCCUCUGUGUCUCUAUGGGGCUCUACAGUGUCCAGCCCGUGUUCACACGAGGUGUCCCCUCUAACAGAGAGCAGCAGGCUCAUGGGGGCGGACGUGCACCGGGCAGCUCGAGACUCCUCUGGCCUCGGGGACCUGGUUUCAGGAGCAAGCUUCAGAGGCCUUGCGGAAGUUGAGGAAAGCAAUAGGAGUCAGCCAGAGCUGCCCGGAAGGAGGAGGUCCUUCCUGACGCCCCGACUCGGAGAUGAACCUGGUCCUCUUACUGGGGAGAGCCCUGGAGAAGUUGCCGCCUUCUCUGCUGUUAUCAAGAGUUGGAGGAGCCAUGUGAUUUCCUGCGCAAGGACUGCAGACAACCGUGACUCAAUGUUUCUUGCAGUCAAGCUUUACAAGUUCUCUGCCCAGAAUGACCUCCCAACCCUCACCUCUCCAAGUCAUCUGUUCAGCCAUUAACUCUUUCAUGCUUGCAGACAUAGAUGCAUGCACUUUAAGAAGACCAUUUGCUGAGCACUGGAUCAGGCACUGUUCUAGGCAUCGGGCCACAAAGACAUGUUCAUUAGUCUCAACGAGCUCACAGUGAAAAAGGAG